rnacentral:rRNA from 1 species
GACGAACGCUGGCGGCGUGCCUAAUACAUGCAAGUCGAACGCAUUGUCUUUCAUCGCAGCUUACUACACCGACAGACGAUGAGUUGCGAACGGGGGAGUCACACGUGCGUAACCUGCCAAUCAGCGGGGGAUAACACUUGUACACAGGUGCUAAUACCGCUUAAUUCCAUUUACCGCAUGGUAGAUAGUUGAAAGUCGCUUUUGCGUCACUGAUGGUUGUGGUCGCGGUUGAGUAGCUCGAUGGUGGGGUAAGGGACUACCAAGGCGGCGAUGCGUAGCCGGCGUGAGAGGGUGGAGGGCAACAGUGGGACUGAGAUACGGCGCAGACUCCUAAGGGAGGCAGCAGUGGGGAAUAUUGCACAAUGGGCGCAAGCCGGAUGCAGCGACGCUGCGUGGGGGAUGACGGCCUUCGGGUUGUAAACUCCUUUCGCUAGGGACGAAGCUUUUUGUGACGGUACCUAGAUAAGAAGCACCGGCUAACUACGUG